GUUGCCAGUAGGUGCACUUGGUUCAAAAGUCCUGCGCACCGGGUAAGCAAAGUAUUCCCAUGAGACAAACUGCGCCUACUCGGCGGACCGGCAAAUCUGUGACUAAAUUGAGUGCACCUCCUGCGCUGCCCAAUCGGACAGCUCAAAUCACCGUGGCUACAGAGCUUCCAUGACCCUGGCCACAGCCAAGUUUAAUAGGCUUCCAGCCUACGUAAGAUUUAGUAACUUGUAAAACCAUGACCACAGAGAGACUGCCAACGAAUACAGCAAAGAGCUGCAGUUUUUAUGAGAACAACACUAAUUUGUGCAUGAGGCAGAUGCGGUGCGACUCGAGUUUCGCCAUCAGGUGGAAGACGGUGUCCCCUCUCUGGUCAGUCUCACCGGAGGAAAGGAAGGAGAGAGCAGGGACCUCGAGAGGCGGUUGGGAAAAAUAGUUUUGAACGGUCAUCCAACUCGGAAUUCCAAGUCAGAACCUCAAGCAUCAUUCUAGAGCUCCGUCUUUUCGACCUGAAGAUCACUGACGUCGUGAUUUGACCUUGUUGAUCAUCAGAUGCAGUUGCUGACCAGAAGCAAUGGAGGACACCUGUAGAUGCCGAAUGAGUCCAAUCAAUCUAAAGACAUCAUUAAGAACAGCCUGGACUCUACAAGGUGUCGAAAGCGUUCCACAGGGAUGCUGGCCCAUGUUGACGCCAAUGCUUCCAACAGUUGUGUCAAGUUGACUGGAUGUCCUUUGGGUGGUGGACCAUUCUUGAUACACACGGGAAACUUUUGAGCGUGAAAAACCCAGCAGCUUUGCAGUUCUUGACACAAAUACCAGUACGCCUGGGACCUACUACCAUACCCUGUUCGAAGGCACUUAAAUCUUUUGUCUUGUCCAUUCACCCUCUGAAUGGCACACACACACACAAUCCAUGUCUCUAUUGUCUCAAGGCUUAAAAAUCAUUAUUUAACCUGUCUCCUCCCCUUCAUCUACACUGAUUGAAGUGGAUUUAACAAGUGACAUCAAUAAGGGAUCAUAGCUUUUACCUGUAUUCACCUGGUCAGUCUGUCAUGGAAAGAGCAGGUGUUCAUAUGGUUUUGUACACAGCAUAUACAGAGCUUUUGUAUUAGAAUGUCACUGAACUAAAUACAGACUAACAAAAAUAACAGCCGAGUAUGAUGCAUGUCAGUGUCCCCAUGUCACAAUUCUGACAGCUUAAUUUGACAAACACAUUUCCUUUCAUAUUCAACGGUCUUAUUAUGUGAUUCAUAUGGCACACAUGUUCUGCUGAAGUCGUGUGCAUCAUUUUGACACAGGAUAUGAUUCAUGUUUUGGUGUGGAUGAUUUCUUAUUAACCUUUGGAUGCACCUACACAGAGAGAAUGAACUACUUGGC
rnacentral:lncRNA from 1 species